CAGUCGCCGCGGUAAUACGUAGGUGGCAAGCGUUGUCCGGAAUUAUUGGGCGUAAAGGGCUCGCAGGCGGUUUCUUAAGUCUGAUGUGAAAGCCCCCGGCUCAACCGGGGAGGGUCAUUGGAAACUGGGAAACUUGAGUGCAGAAGAGGAAAGUGGAAUUCCACGUGUAGCGGUGAAAUGCGUAGAGAUGUGGAGGAACACCAGUGGCGAAGGCGACUCUCUGGUCUGUAACUGACGCUGAGGAGCGAAAGCGUGGGGAGCGAACAGGAUUAGAUACCCCCGUAGUCCCUGUCUCUUAUAC
rnacentral:rRNA from 1 species